UAGGGAAUCUUCGGCAAUGGGGGGAACCCUGACAGAGCAACGCCGCGUGAGUGAAGAAGGUUUUCGGAUCGUAAAGCUCUGUUGUUAAGGAAGAACGAGUGUGAGAAUGGAAAGUUCAUACUGUGACGGUACUUAACCAGAAAGGGACGGCUAACUACGUGCCAGCAGCCGCGGUAAUACGUAGGUGGCAAGCGUUGUCCGGAUUUAUUGGGCGUAAAGCGAGCGCAGGCGGUCAAUUAAGUCUGAUGUGAAAGCCCCCGGCUCAACCGGGGAGGGUCAUUGGAAACUGGUUGACUUGAGUGCAGAAGAGGAGAGUGGAAUUCUCGGUGUAACGGUGGAAUGUGUAGAUAUCGGGAAGAACACCAAUGGCGAAGGCAGGUCUCUGGGCUGUUACUGACGCUGAGAAGCGAAAGCGUGGGGAGCGAACAGG
rnacentral:rRNA from 1 species